rnacentral:rRNA from 1 species
UACAGAGGGUGCAAGUGUUGUUCGGAAUUACUGGGCGUAAAGGGCGCGUAGGCGGGAUGGCAAGUCGGUCGUGAAAUCCUUCGGCUCAACCGAAGAACGUCGAUCGAUACUGCUGUUCUUGAGGGUUGCAGAGGAGACUGGAAUUCCCGGUGUAGCGGUGAAAUGUGUAGAGAUCGGGAGGAACACCGGUGGCGAAGGCGGGUCUCUGGGCAAUUCCUGACGCUGAGGCGCGAAAGCGUGGGGAGCAAACGGG